AGUUAAGCGUGCUUGGGCUAGAGUAGUACUAGGAUGGGUGACCUCCUGAGAAGUCCUCGUAUUGCACCCC
rnacentral:rRNA from 1 species